rnacentral:rRNA from 1 species
GUGGGGAAUAUUGGACAAUGGGCGAAAGCCUGAUCCAGCCAUGCCGCGUGUGUGAAGAAGGUCUUCGGAUUGUAAAGCACUUUAAGUUGGGAGGAAGGGCAGUAAGUUAAUACCUUGCUGUUUUGACGUUACCGACAGAAUAAGCACCGGCUAACUUCGUGCCAGCAGCCGCGGUAAUACGAAGGGUGCAAGCGUUAAUCGGAAUUACUGGGCGUAAAGCGCGCGUAGGUGGUUUUGUAAGUUGGAGGUGAAAUCCCCGGGCUCAACCUGGGAACUGCCUCCAAAACUUCAUGACUAGAGUACGGUAGAGGGUAGUGGAAUUUCCUGUGUAGCGGUGAAAUGCGUAGAUAUAGGAAGGAACACCAGUGGCGAAGGCGACUACCUGGACUGAUACUGACACUGAGGUGCGAAAGCGUGGGGAGCAAACAGGAUUAGAAACCCGAGUAGUCC